AGCCUUGAAUUCUUUCGGAGGUGCAUAUUCAGCAGAAUGCCAAGGAAGAGCAGAGAUACAUGGAAAGCACUGAAAGAAUGUGCAAAUUAGGCUACCUAUUUUUAUUCAAAAGACCAAAAAAUACAAAGGCAUGCAUUGGAGUUUUAAAUAAAACUCAUCUCUGACUCAUUAGGAACUCAAUGCCUACCUUUCUCUGUUAUUAACUGUCCAAGGAAGCAGGGGAGUUAGUGGUGGAAACAUAAAGUUAGGGAUAUCCUGAGGGUUGCAGUUCAGGGGAGAGGAUGAAUGGACUUUUGUUUCUCUUUCUAUCUAUCUAUCUAUCUAUCUACCCACCUAUCUCCAUAGAAUGCCUAACACGUUUGAAAUAAAUGUGAAUGGGACCAUGUCACUUGUCAUGUUAAAAAAUAUUAGGAGAAAAGUAUACUAAGAUGGGAAAUCAUUGUGAAUUUGAGUAUAUGUCCAAUGUAAUAGAUUACCUAGGAACUGAUCUGUAAUUAGAUUUAGGAAGAUGUUAAUGAUUACACUAUCUUUAGAGGAAAUAAUUACCUGGCAAUGAGGACAUGUCUUGCAACUCAUAGUGGCUGGAGGGGGAUGUCAUCAUUGAUGGCAAGCUGGAAGACAGGAUGCUUCUCCCGAGGGGGGAAAAUAAUAGAUGCACUUGAAUUGCUAAAGAAAAAGGGCACUGAACCACCUUGUAGGAGCGGUUCUUGUGCAUGUGUGAGUAAUGUCUUUGCAGACUACUGGCCUCGAUUGGAGGUUCAACUGAUGAGGGAGAAACAGAGAGCUGUGUGCCAGGACAGGGGAGGGUAAUUCCUAUGGUUACCAUGUGCAGAGUUCUAAAAUUACUGGGCUUAGUGGUUGACAUAAAAAAUUGGUUUUUGUCUAAAGUGAAGAGUGGUGUGAGACUACAGGACAGAAGGAGUGUGCUUCUGCAGGAAAUAAAGGAACAGAGAAAAGAAGAAAGUUUCAAGUGGAAGAAAAGAAUGUUACCUUGAUAAAUGAGGUGACAAGCAUUGACGAUGGUGCCAAGGAUCUCCUUUGAGGGACUGAGCAAGAGAAGAAUAGAGAAUGCACCCGAAGUCCAUGUUGUUGGUCAUUAGUUCUUCAGGGAGACCAGCUGGCUCAAAAGAGAAGCGAAUCUAUCAGGUUUUUCCCCCCAUCUUGACAUAGCCUGGUUUUUCUAGAAUUUGUUUUUUGGCUCUGUGGUUUUGAGAUGAUACACUCUCCAUUAUGUUCUUAUAAAUAGCAUUGAAGUUUGGCUGUAUGUGGAACUAGCUCCAGCCCCCAGGGAAUCAUCGAAGGUGGCCUCCGCCUGGAUUUGCUUGAUUUACAUCAAUUCCACCAUCGGCUAUGCUUUCUGGACAUAUAUAUGCCGCAUUAUUUACGUUACUCAGAAGCAAAUAUAGUAUUUGCAAAUAAAGUGCUGAUGAGAUGAGAUUUGAGAUUUGAAAAUGGAGUCAAAAAGGAAAGAAUUGGAAGAGAUUGAUUGAUUACAUUCAUACAGGUUUAAAGGAUUAAUGUUAGAAUGUGUACCUGUAUCCUCCCUACUGGAAACAUAGCCUGUGCUCCAAGAUUAUUUGGCUCACUUGUAAAGACAUUUGAGCAUUUAAAAUUCUUAUACUUGCUUCAUAUUGCGCUAGAUAAAAUGGGUGAGAAAAAAGGGCACAAACGUUGGCAGAAAGACCCUGAAGACCAGAAAAAUGGUCUCUGGGUGUAAACUUCCUUUUCAUUUCUUUCAAUUUAUGCUAGGAAAAAGUUACCUUAGAAGAGCCGCACCUGAGGGAGCCUUGGGUAUACGAAGAUCUCCAAUUCAACGCAGGUGUACUUUCAAAUUUCCCUCUCACCCAUCUCACUGAAUAUGCAACAAACAUCUUGUAAUCUGUGCCUUUCGAGACAAGGCAGAGUUCUGUGCACCAGGAAAAAAAAACAAAGUUUGCUGUCAAAACUGCAGACUAUUCCACUGUCUGGCAUUUUCCACCCUCCUAUCAAGUGGCCUCUCUCUGGGCUCUGGACAGUGUAUCCCACUGUCAGCCAAGUGAACUCACUAGAAGCCAGGAAGCUGGCAGCAGCAGGACCUGCCCUUCUCAGACCUGGAUUCUCAUCUCCUCCAUGAAGAGCUUCUGAAUUAUCCCAAUGCUUCCCACCAGCUCAAAAAUUGUAAUCCCAUGUGUCUGUAAAAUCUAAUGGCAGGGGCCUGGGUGGCUCAGCUGGUCGGGCAGCGGACUCUUGAUUUCAGCUGAGGUCAUGAUCUCACUGUUUGUGGGUUCCAGCUGUCAGCAUGGAGCC